rnacentral:tRNA from 1 species
GGGGAUUUGGCUCAGUGGCAUAAGCACCUGCCUUGCAAGCAGGAGCUUGUGAGUUUGAUCCCCG